rnacentral:rRNA from 1 species
UGGGGAAUAUUGGGCAAUGGGCGCAAGCCUGACCCAGCAACGCCGCGUGAAGGAAGAAGGCUUUCGGGUUGUAAACUUCUUUUGAGGGGGACGAAAGAAAUGACGGUACCCUUUGAAUAAGCCACGGCUAACUACGUGCUAGCAGCCGCGGUAAUACGUAGGUGGCAAGCGUUAUCCGGAUUUAUUGGGUGUAAAGGGCGUGUAGGCGGGACUGCAAGUCAGAUGUGAAAACUCAGGGCUCAACCCUGAGCCUGCAUUUGAAACUGUAGUUCUUGAGUGCUGGAGAGGCAAUCGGAAUUCCGUGUGUAGCGGUGAAAUGCGUAGACAUACGGAGGAACACCAGUGACGAAGGCGGAUUGCUGGACAGUAACUGACGCUGAGGCGCGAAAGCGUGGGGAGCAAACAGG